rnacentral:tRNA from 1 species
GGCCUCAUAGCUCAGCUGGUAGAGCAUGCGUGUGCAAAGCGUAGGCUGUGUCCAUGCGUGGGUUCGAAUCCUACCGAGGCUA